rnacentral:rRNA from 1 species
UACGGAGGUGGCAAGCGUUGCUCGGAAUCACUGGGCGUAAAGGGCGCGUAGGCGGGGAGGUAAGUCGGGUGUGAAAUCCCUCGGCCCAACCGAGGAACUGCGCCCGAGACUGCUUCUCUUGAGUCCCGGAGAGGAAGAUGGAAUUCCCGGUGUAGCGGUGAAAUGUGUAGAGAUCGGGAGGAACACCGGUGGCGAAGGCGGUCUUCUGGACGGUGACUGACGCUGAGGCGCGAAAGCUAGGGGAGCGAACGGG